AGGAACCACAGCUGCACAAUAACGUUCAGUGCAGCUGUGGAGGAUGGAGAACUGUGACAACAGAGACCAUGGGACCACCUGGAGAGAAGUUGUCACCUGUGUCUAUGGAGGCUCAAUGCAAUAACAUCCUGCAGCUCUUCGCUCCCUCCAGCCUCUGGUCCAGACAGAGGGGAGCCUCCCAGUCCUAACCACAUAGAGGAAGUGUCUUUAUCACGGCUUUCUCUGUGCUGCUGGGUUUGGGAGACUCUUCACAUAACCAGUGGUGUUGGCCUCCAUCUGUAAGCAGAAGACGGUCAAGACAAGUGGUUGUCAUAAAUAAUUUUAAACCAAUUGAAAUAAAUAGUUUUCAUGUUAACUUUUGUGUGUAUACUGUAUAUAUAUGUAAAAGUUAAGCAUUACCUGACUAAAUGUAAAAAUGCCAAGGUCUGUGUAGAGGUUUAUUAUGUUGAUGUACUGAUGGCAUAUUGGCAGUAGGCGUAGGCCAGGGGUGAGUGUGUGGGUGGAUACUAGACCUAGGACAUAACCUUUAUUUUGAAACAUAAAACUAAACUUAAUGAAGUGACAUCACUGAAGAAGUCAUGAAAGCAUGGUCAAAAUGCUGAAUAUGGGUGUUUUCCUGAUUUCCUCUCCAUCCUGUUAUAAUAAAAUGUCCUCUAAUUUAAAAAGUACAA